rnacentral:rRNA from 1 species
GUGCCAGCCGCCGCGGUAAUACCGGCAGCCCAAGUGAUGGCCGCUGUUAUUGGGCCUAAAGCGUCCGUAGCUGGCCGCACAAGUCCGUCGGGAAAUCCGCCCGCUCAACGGGUGGGCGUCCGGUGGAAACUGCGUGGCUUGGGACCGGAAGGCGCGACGGGUACGUCCGGGGUAGGAGUGAAAUCCCAUAAUCCCGCACGGACCACCGAUGGCGAAAGCACUUCGAGAAAACGGAUCCGACAGUGAGGGACGAAAGCUCGGGUCUCAAACCGGAUUAGAUACCCCUGUAGUCC